rnacentral:rRNA from 1 species
UAAAAAAAAUUAAUUCAAUUUUUAAAAACUUUAAAAAAAAAUUUUUAAGGCCAAAAUAAUAUAAUUAUUUAUUUAACUGAAGAGGAUCAAUAUUUUUUUUGAAAAAGUAAAUUAUUUUGUACCUUUAGCAUAAGGGAUUUUCAAAAAAAAAUAAAGUUUUUAUUUUUCUCGAAGUAAAUUGAACUAACUAAGUUUUAAUUAGUUUAUUGCAAAAAAUUAAAAAAACUUUUUUAGAAGUGAAAUUCCUGUCAAAAUUUAAGAUAACUAGUUUUAAUAAAAAAAAGAAAUUUUUCUUAUUUUUAAAUAAAAAUAUUAUUAAAAUAAAUAAGUUAUUUUUUUUGGGAUAAGCUAAAAAAAAAUUAACACAAAAUUUUAUUAAAAUAAAAAAGGAAUAAAAUUUUCCAUUAAAUUCUAAUAGAUAAUUUUAUUUAAUUUUAAAUUAAAAUUUUAAUUAUUUAUUAAAAAUAAAUAUUAAUUAAAAUAUUUAAUAAAAAUGGAUUUAUUAGUAAAAUUGAAUUGGUAAUUUUUCUUUUGAAUAUCAAAUUAAGAAUUAGAUUUAAAUAAUUUCAAAGAAUUCGGCAAAAAAAUUUUUUGACUGUUUAAUAAAAACAUUUCAUUUAGAUUUAAUAUUAAAUGUAAAUUCUGCUCAAUGAUAAAUUUAAAUUGCUGUAGUAAUUUGACUAUACAAAGGUAUUGAAAUAAGAUUUUAAUUGAAUGCUAAGAGAAUGGAUUAACAAAAAAAAACUUUUUUGAAAUUAAUAAUUAAAAUUAUUUUUGUUUGUGAAGAAACAACAAUAUAAUUUAAGGACAAGAAGACCCUAUGAAUUUUAUUUCUUAUUUUUAUAAUUUAUAAAUUAUAAUAAAAAUUUAAUUGGGGCGAUUAAAAAAGAUUUAAAUCUUUUUUUUUAAAAGAAAUGAACCAAUAAUAUUGGUUGAAUGACUAAAAUACUCUAGGGAUAACAGCGUAAUAAUUUUUGACAGUUCUUAUAGACAAAAUAGUUUGCGACCUCGAUGUUGGAUUAGGAUACUUAUUUAAUGAAGAAGUUAAAUGAAGAAGUUUGUUCAACUUUUAAACUCUUACAUGAUCUGAGUUUAGACCGAUGAGAAUCAGGUUGGUUUCUAUCUUAAUUAAUAUUUUUUGAAAAUUAGUACGAAAGGAAUUUUUUCAAUAAAUUAUUUAUUAAGAUUUACAAUUUUUGCAUCAAUUUUUGGAAU